UACGUAGGGGGCAAGCGUUGUCCGGAAUCAUUGGGCGUAAAGCGCGUGUAGGCGGCUCGGGUAGUCUGGUGUGAAAUCUUUCGGCUCAACCGGAAGCGGUCACUGGAUACUCUCGGGCUUGAGUCCGGAAGAGGAGAGUGGAAUUCCUGGCGUAGCGGUGGAAUGCGCAGAUAUCAGGAGGAACACCAAUGGCGAAGGCAGCUCUCUGGGACGUGACUGACGCUAAGACGCGAAAGCGUGGGGAGCGAACAGG
rnacentral:rRNA from 1 species